GUCGCGAUGCCAGAGUGGUUAAUGGGUUAGACUUGAAUCCCCUCGAGAUCGAUAUCUAAUGGUUUCGGCCACGUAGGUUCAAAUCCUGCUCGCGACG
rnacentral:tRNA from 1 species